UGUCCAGUAGCACCUUAGAGACCAACUAAGUUUGUUCUUGGUAUAAGCUUCUGUGUGCAUGUACACUUCUUCAGAUACCAAAAACUUCUACCAAGAACUAACCUAGUUGGUCUCUAAGGUGCUACUGGACA